GCGGCGGUGGUGGAACUGGUAGACACGCCAGCUUGAGGUGCUGGUACCGCGAGGUAUGGAAGUUCAAGUCUUCUUCGCCGCA
rnacentral:tRNA from 1 species